rnacentral:rRNA from 1 species
UGGGGAAUAUUGCACAAUGGGCGCAAGCCUGAUGCAGCCAUGCCGCGUGUAUGAAGAAGGCCUUCGGGUUGUAAAGUACUUUCAGUCGGGAGGAAGGUGGUAAGGUUAAUAACCUUAUCAAUUGACGUUACCGACAGAAGAAGCACCGGCUAACUCCGUGCCAGCAGCCGCGGUAAUACGGAGGGUGCAAGCGUUAAUCGGAAUUACUGGGCGUAAAGCGCACGCAGGCGGUUGAUUGAGUCAGAUGUGAAAUCCCCGGGCUUAACCCGGGAAUUGCAUCUGAUACUGGUCAGCUUGAGUCUUGUAGAGGGGGGUAGAAUUCCAUGUGUAGCGGUGAAAUGCGUAGGGAUGUGGAGGGAUACCGGUGGCGAAGGCGGCCCCCUGGACAAAGACUGACGCUCAGGUGCGAAAGCGUGGGGAGCAAACAGG